rnacentral:lncRNA from 1 species
UUGGUAAGGAUGUCUUUGAGAAACUUGGCAUAAGAAGGUAUUUGGGUGAUGGCUUCUGUGAAAGGGAUUUCUACGUGAAGUUUUUCUAUAACUUUAAUAAAUUUCUGAUACUGGUUAUUAAUCUGGGUUUGUUUGAGUCUUUGCGGAUAUGGUAUAGGUGUUUUAUAUGGCGGGGGUGGUACGUAAGUUUUGUCUUUAGGUUCUUCUCCUUUUUCUUGACCUUCCUUUUUUUCAGAUUCCUUUGGUUCCUUUACUUUGUCUGUGGGUUCGGUAUAUUCCUUAGAAGUUUUGGGUUCACUCAAUCUUGGGUUUGGUGGCUCAUCAUAAGCGUUCCUACUUCGUAGGGUAAUGGCAUUGGCUUGUCCUCGCGGAUUCUGUUGAGGUUGUCCAGG